GAUGAACGCUGGCGGCGUGCCUAAUACAUGCAAGUCGAGCGAACGGACGAGAAGCUUGCUUCUCUGAUGUUAGCGGCGGACGGGUGAGUAACACGUGGAUAACCUACCUAUAAGACUGGGAUAACUUCGGGAAACCGGAGCUAAUACCGGAUAAUAUUUUGAACCGCAUGGUUCAAAAGUGAAAGACGGUCUUGCUGUCACUUAUAGAUGGAUCCGCGCUGCAUUAUCUAGUUGGUAAGGUAACGGCUUACCAAGGCAACGAUGCAUAGCCGACCUGAGAGGGUGAUCUGCCACACUGGAACUGAGACACGGUCCAGACUCCUACGGGAGGCAGCAGUAGGGAAUCUUCCGCAAUGGGCGAAAGCCUGACGGAGCAACGCCGCGUGAGUGAUGAAGGUCUUCGGAUCGUAAAACUCUGUUAUUAGGGAAGAACAUAUGUGUAAGUAACUGUGCACAUCUUGACGGUACCUAAUCAGAAAGCCACGGCUAACUACGUG
rnacentral:rRNA from 1 species